ensembl:lncRNA
CUUUAAAUAUGUAUUUAUUAACAUACAAAUAUAUGUAGUAACUAGUAUAUAUUCCCAGGUCAUAGAGCACAAUUAACUGAUUGGGAAAAUAGAAAUGAUACAGAGUUUUCUAGCAUAUGUCAAUGAAGUUAAAAGUAGAAAUCAAUACACGGAAAAUAGCUGGAAAGUCCUUAAGUUUUGGUAUCGUCAAUAUCAUACUGCUAUAUAACAUAUAAGAUGAAGAUCAAAUUUCAUAAUUAAAAUAUUUGAGAUAUUGAAAUAUUGAAAAUAAAAAUAAGCACCAAAUUUGUAAUACAGCAAAAGCAGUCUUGAAAGGAGAGGUGAGUGUUUAAUUUAUAUGUAAUAAAAGAAGAAAAUGAGAAAGGGGCUCUUGUACACUGCUAGAAGAAACAUGAACUACUACAGCCACCAUGGAUUUCACCACAGUGGGAUUUCACAACACUGAAAACUACCACGUGAUCAAGCAGUUGCAAUGCUGGCAAAGGAAAUGAAUAUCAAAGUAACAUUCUCCUCCCUUGCUCAUUACAUUAGUCUGAUCCAACAAGAAGUCUACUAUCAGGUAACUGAAUAGAUAAGGUUUUGAUAAAAACACACAAUAGACUAUAAUUCAGCCUUUAAAAAGUAAGAUGUUUUAUUUUUAGUAACAUGGAUAGAUUUGGAGAAGAGAAUUAGUGUGUUCUUUUUGCUUACUGUGGAAGCCUCACAUCAAGUUAAUGUAAGAAAGUGGAAUGCUGGUCACUAGGACUAAGAAAUGCAGAGUAAGGGUAGGAUAGUGAAGGGAGGGAAGACUUUAUAAAACAGUUACCAAUGCUAUUAGAUAAGAAUUAGUUUGAGUCUUAGAUAAGAAAAGUAACUUGAUGCCUACAACUUUUUAUGAUACGUUUCAAAAUAAUGAUGAGAAUCUGUAGUUUCCCAACACAUAGAAAUGAAAUAUAUUUGAUGCAUAAUGUUAAUUGCUCCAUUUGAUAUUCCACAAGACAUAUGUCCAUUGAAUUAUUGUGCUGUACAUAAACACAUACAUAUAAUAUUUUUAAUUUAAAAAUAAAAAAUUAAAAUUCAUUGUCAAGUGAUUUAGUAUAAAAGGAUGAACAGGUCAAACAGGAAAAUUUUUGCAAGAGGUAAAUGUUUCUGUACAAUGCUACAAUGUUGGAUUUACAUGAUCACACAUUUUUCAAAACCCAUCGAUUGAACAAUACCAGGAGUAAUCUCUAAUGUUACCUGUGGACUUUGGGUAAUAGAGGAUGUGUUUGUGUUAAUGCAUGUCCAUCAUUUGUAACAAAAUUAAGGUUUAGAAAGUUGAUAAUAAUGGAAACUAUUUGGAUGCAUAAUAUUUAAGGGAAGUUUACAUCUUCCAUUCAUCUAUUUUGUUGUGAAUCUAAACUGCUUCCAAAAGUAACCUAAAUAAAAUUGGAUGCCUACUGUUGUAUCUGUAUAAAUGAUAGUAUAGUUUAUCAAGAAAGUUCAUAUGUGUAGCUUGGUCUGUUUGAGGGGACCCUGGCAGUGGGACCAGGAUUCCUGGUGCGUGAGCUGGCUUUUUGGAGCCCAUUCUCUGUGAUGGGAUGCCUUGCUAACCUCAAUGCGGUGGGAGGGGCUGGGUCCUGCCUCAACUUAAUGUGCCAGGCUUUGUUAGCUCCACAUGGGAGCCCCUACCCUUUCUGAGGAGUAUAUGGGGGUUGGGUUGUGGGAAAAACAGGAAGAUGGGAAGGAGGGGGACUGUGGUUGGUAUGUAGAAAGAAUAAAAACUUACAAUAAAUUUUAAAAAGAACUAUCCCAUGGUUAUUCUGAUUUUAAUAGUUUUUAAAGGUUAUUCAAAGAUGUAUUAAACAAGAGAUUCUCUAAAUGCCAUCAGCAACCAAUUAGAAAUUACUAUGGAAAAUGUUCAAUUAUAAUAACGUGAAACUGUAAGUUAUCCAGUAACAUUUAAUAAAAUAGUACAAUAGAUAAAAAUUACAAAAUCAUAAAUUCUAUAAAAUAAAAUAAAUAAAACCUAUCCUGAUGUGAGACCAUAUUGUUGAGAUUUCAUGGGGGUGGCUCCCUGUCACAUAUAGAAGGCAUUCUCUCACAGGAGGUGUCCUGGUCCUUCCCAUCCCAUUCCUCCCUGAGUCUUAAGUGUAGGGGUUUGUAGGCAGCAUGAUGUUGGGUCCUGUUUUUAUUGUCAUUCAGCCAUUCUGUUUUUAUAAUUGGGGAAUUUGGUCCUUGUAAUUGAUAAGUAAGACUUCAGUCAUUUUGUUAAUCCAUGUAUCGAUCACAUUUCAAGCUAUAAAAUAACUACCAAAAACAUCAAAACAUUUAAAUGCCAAAAAUUUAUGAAAAAAUAUUCAAACUGCAGAUAAUUAAAGAUGCCAAAAAACUUACUACCAAAGUUUCCCCUAUUUGCUACUUAUCACAGUGGUAAAAUUAUAUAUAUACAUAGAUAUUCACAUGGAUAUAUGCAUAUUAGUUGUUUAGCGUAGGAGAAAAUUAGAUUCUCAUAAAUUGAUAGUAAUAAGUUGAUAUAAUUUGUCAAUAAAAUAAUUGACAAUGUGAAUGAAAGUGAUCAUGCAUUUACGUGUCCUUCAGAGUAAUGAAAGUAAAAGUUGCAAGAAAUCUAAAUGCAAAAACAGAAAUGGUGAAAUGUGGUAUAUGUUCAGCGCAUAAAAUAAGAACUCCAAAGAUAUUUUUCAUAAAUUCUAUUAUUAAAGGACAAAAUAAUAUAUGUGCACAUAUAUAAUAAACAUAAAUACUACAUAUCUUGGAUUUUUAAAUUACAGGUGACUUGAAGUUUGGCUUUCUGUCAAAAUUAUGUGUGUGGGGAAAAUGUUUGUCAUGUUAAAUUCAAAUCCACAGAUGUAGUAUAUGUCUCUAAUUGGAGAUCAAAUGUCACAUAAUCCGAGCAAGUAUAUAUAUAAAGUGACACACGAUUUAAAUGUAAAUGACAUUUGCUUAAAAAUAUGACACAUUUAUAAAGAAAUAUUAAAGGUAUGGCAAUUUUACUAAUGCCAUUUUACACAGUGCUAUAAAGAAUAUUGCUGUCAAACCCCACUCAUCUCAAAAUGCAAUGACUAGAAACUUACAAGCUAUUUGGUUUCAUAAAUUUGGGAAUUAUGAGACCAAUAUUUAAAGACAACCACUCAUGGCAUUCAUCUUACUAGGAAGCAUGCUAAGCACCAGUCUGUUUCCUUUUGCUCCUCUGUCGCAAGGUUGCACCCUUCAGAUGAAGGUGAAGGGGCACGGGCAUCUGUGAACAUCAGCAAGAAAGUGCCGACUACCCUUGCAGGUGUCCAUCGCAAUGCCUGCCCUGCCCGAGAUGGGUGUUGAUGAGAAACGCCGAGGACAAAGUUAUAAGGAAGAGUAUAAAUUGUGACUUUAUAUUUUGUAUAACUGCUAACAAAAGGAGAAGAUUGAUUUUGUAAUGUAACUGCAUAAAUGAUUCAAUUUAUUGAAGUAAGUUAUUACACACUUUGUAUGACCCCAUAUAUUCUUUGCAUGUCUUAACACCAAACAUUCUCUCUCCUCCGCCCCUUCUCUUUGUCCCCAGCACUUUUUCUAUGACAUUCUUAAUUACUUCCCUCUCCACACUCAUUCUUCUCUGUUUUCAUGUGUUUUUCUCAUUGACUUUUGUCUGCCUACCUUUUCCAUCACUUCACAUUUUUUUUUGUAGUUACAGUUUUGUAUUUCCCAACAGAAGAUCUUCAGAAUAAUUCUUGAAAUUUUAGGUCCAAAUAUUUCUGCAUAUUACUGUUUUCUUCCUUCCAUUAUUUUGAUACAGUUUUUUAUUUCUUCCUAUUACACAUGCUUCUAGA